ACGAAACGUUAGCCAAUAAAUUUUAUAUUUUGUUAUGUCUUGUCUGAAAGUCAUUUGCUGGGCUUUAAUUUUCAUUUUUAAAUUAAUCAUGAUUCCUUCACCUACUGUUUGUCUCUGCAUGUUGCUGUGCCAUUUGCCAGCAUGAAGGAAGGCUAAUUGAAAACUACUAAUUUACUUGAUUAAUGCUAAAUAAUGUCUAAUGAUUUGUCUAUUCUAAUUCUGGAAAAAGAGGUUUGGGUUACUGAGAGUGGGAUUGACAAAAACAAAAAUGCGAAUGGAAACCCAUGCAUAUACCAUUAUAAGAAUAGUUGUAGUUUGAUAUUUCAGAGUUUAAAUAACUUCAAGGAAAGUUGCUAUAAAUGUCCUGGAACACUGUAUUUCAAUUCUGC